rnacentral:rRNA from 1 species
GACAGAGGGUGCAAACGUUGUUCGGAAUUACUGGGCGUAAAGCGCGUGUAGGCUGCUCGGAAAGUCGGAUGUGAAAGCCCUGGGCUCAACUGAGGAAGUGCACCCGAAACUGAGUAGCUGGAGUACGAAAGAGGGUCGCGGAAUUCCCGGUGUAGAGGUGAAAUUCGUAGAUAUCGGGAGGAACACCGGUGGCGAAGGCGGCGACCUGGGUCGAUACUGACGCUGAGACGCGAAAGCGUGGGGAGCAAACAGG